rnacentral:rRNA from 1 species
GCGAAAGACGGGCCAGAUGCCGUGGGAAGACGUGGGUGGCAAGGGUGUGCCGGAUUUAUUGGGCGGAAAGCGGGGGCAUGCGGUUCCUUAAGUCGGAUGUGAAAGCCCACGGCUCAACCGUGGAAGGUCAUUGGAAACUGGGGAACUUGAGUGCAGAAGAGGAGAGUGGAAUUCCAUGUGUAGCGGUGAAAUGCGUAGAUAUAUGGAGGAACACCAGUGGCGAAGGCGACUCUCUGGUCUGUAACUGACGCUGAGGCUCGAAAGCGUGGGGAGCAAACAGGAUUAGAUACCCGAGUAGUC